rnacentral:snoRNA from 1 species
AUGCAUCUAUUUGACAGACCUGGAGCAGGUAUUACUGGUAACGUUUCCACUACAGACGCAAGAAAAAGUGUCUUCCUGCUUUCUUUCUGUCUGAUUGUGGCUUCCAAGACUGAAUAGGGGAAUAUGUGG